rnacentral:misc_RNA from 1 species
GAUGAAGAACGCAGCAAAAUGCGAUAAGUAGUGUGAAUUGCAGAAUUCAGUGAAUCAUCGAAUCUUUGAACGCACAUUGCGCCCGCCAGUAUUCUGGCGGGCAUGCCUGUUCGAGCGUCAUUACAACCCUCAGGCCCCCGGGCCUGGCGUUGGGGAUCGGCGGAAGCCCCCUGCGGGCACAACGCCGUCCCCCAAAUACAGUGGCGGUCCCGCCGCAGCUUCCAUUGCGUAGUAGCUAACACCUCGCAACUGGAGAGCGGCGCGGCCACGCCGUAAAACACCCAACUUCUGAAUGUUGACCUCGAAUCAGGUAGGAAUACCCGCUGAACUUAAGCAUAUCAAUAAGCGGAGGA